UGGGGAAUAUUGCGCAAUGGGCGAAAGCCUGACGCAGCAACGCCGCGUGCGGGAUGAAGGCCUUCGGGUUGUAACGCUUCAGUGGGCGGCGGUACCCACAGAAGAAGCCCCGGCCAACUACGUGCCAGCAGCCGCGGUAACACGUAGGGGGCGAGCGUUGUCCGGAUUUAUUGGGCGUAAAGAGCUCGUAGGCGGCUCGGUAAGUGAGGUGUGAAACUCCAGGCUCAACCUGGAGACGCCACCUCAUACUGCUGGGCUAGAGUCCGGUAGGGGAGCAUGGAAUUCCUGGUGUAGCGGUGAAAUGCGCAGAUAUCAGGAGGAACACCAGUGGCGAAGGCGGUGCUCUGGGCCGGAACUGACGCUGAGGAGCGAAAGCGUGGGGAGCAAACAGGAUUAGAUACCCCGGUAGU
rnacentral:rRNA from 1 species